rnacentral:piRNA from 1 species
UAGUCACAAGAAUGUUAGGUCCCUGGCGAGU